GAAUGCCCGGCACAUAGUAGGUCCUUUGUUGGAUGGAUGGAUGAAUGAACGAGCGAAUGAAUGAAGUUGCACUUCAGAUUCCAACUGGGAAGCAGAGGAGCCAGAUUUCUGAAAAUCGGAAGAACACAAAUAGUGGAUCCUGAAUCUUCCCACCUAACUGCAUGGAGUCUGUAUGACUGGGAUUUUAAGGCUGCACAUUUUCCAUUAUAUUGAUGAUCAUUUAAUAAAAUCAUUCCCUGGCAUCUUUAUUGUUUGUUUACCCUAUCAGAGAUUGAAGGAAUCAUCAUCUUCAUGUCUUCCUUUUCCUCUUUUUUUUCCCACUGAUUAUUUUCAGAAAGAAAUAGAUGGUUUAGCCAAAUAUUACGUCUUACUUAUAGCUCUUGCUGUGUACCUCAUUGCUUUCCAAAGUGUUAAUAAUGGCAGCAGCAAUGUCUGUAUACCCAACAAUUAUGAGUUGAGUAUUUCCUGGUUCUAGGUAGGAACUGAGCUGGGCUGUGGACAUGGAGCUGCCCUCAUGUGGCUUCCAUUCUGGGGCAGGAGACCAGCUUUACUCUCCUUCUCACACUAGUACAUAGUUACACACUGAGAAAGAGUGGGAAGGAAAAAUACAAGCCUUCUUCCAAGAGGCUGAAAUCUGUCUUGUAACAAUUUCAGCAGAACUAGUUGUAGUAGGGGUUCGGGGUGAUAGCCCUAGUGUAAAUCUGCAGAAAUUGCAAAUGUAGACCUAAAUUUUUUACAGAUGAAUAACUAGAAUAUAAUCAAGAACCUGUCCUGACCUUUCCUCCUACUUUUUCUUUUCUUUCUUUCUUCAUUUUAUUUUA